GCGCCCGUAGCUCAGCUGGAUAGAGUACUAGACUACGAAUCUAGUGGUCGGGAGUUCGAAUCUCUCCGGGCGCGCCA
rnacentral:tRNA from 1 species